rnacentral:rRNA from 1 species
GGCCGGCGGGGGGCUUACGCCCCCGGGCCCGCGCCCGCCGAAGACACCCUCGAACUCUGUCUGAAGAUUGAAGUCUGAGUGAAAAUAUAAAUUAUUUAAAACUUUCAACAACGGAUCUCUUGGUUCCGGCAUCGAUGAAGAACGCAGCGAAAUGCGAUACGUAAUGUGAAUUGCAAAUUCAGUGAAUCAUCGAGUCUUUGAACGCACAUUGCGCCCCCUGGUAUUCCGGGGGGCAUGCCUGUCCGAGCGUCAUUGCUGCCCUCAAGCCCGGCUUGUGUGUUGGGCCCCGUCCCCCGAUCUCCGGGGGACGGGCCCGAAAGGCAGCGGCGGCACCGCGUCCGGUCCUCGAGCGUAUGGGGCUUUGUCACCCGCUCUGUAGGCCCGGCCGGCGCUUGCCGAUCAACCCAAAUUUUUAUCCAGGUUGACCUCGGAUCAGGUAGGGAUACCCGCUGAACUUAAGCAUAUCAGUAGGCGGAGGAA